GGAAGGAUCAUUAACACGUAUCCACGUAUCAACCAAUCGAGAACUUGUUUUCAACGCUCCCUUUGCAAUUUGAAUGAAUUGGAACCAGUUUGAGGGAAUUGAUGUGGAUUGCUUCAUUGCAAUCGGCCUUCCUGGUAUACUAACGAACAGUGAAAACCGUUUGUUGACAAUUGUAUCUUAUUGCUGAAAGGCCAAAUUUCUUUCCAUAUUUUGAUCUCCAUCAUGAUCAAUAAAAUAUGGAAGGAGAAACCCUUAUAAACUAUUUUCACCACCUUUUUGCUAGUUGACUUUUUAUAUGUGAUUGUUUUGCUUCAUUGCAAUGUAGUCGCACGUUUAAUUACUUGAACGUUAAAAAAUACAACUCUUAGCAAUGGAUAUCUUGGUUCUCGCAACGAUGAAGAACGCAGCGAAAUGCGAUACGUAAUGCGAAUUGCAGAAUUCAGUGAAUCAUCAAAUCUUUGAACGCAAAUUGCGCUCUUGGGUAGCCCUAGGAGCACGCCUCUCUCAGUAUCGGUUCAACAAUCUCUCAGCAGCGUGUUUAUUGCAAAAUAGAUGCGUGUUGGCUGGAUAAUGAGAGUCUGUAUGCUUUGUCGUACAGUCUCUUGAAAUACAUGGAGUAAGCAUAAACUAUACGAUUAAAUUCCACCAUUCAUUUGGAGGAAUAGUAGAGUCUCUGACUUUGCUUUAUUCGAAAUAGUGACGUGAAUAUUGGCCUUUAUUGGUCUAACUUUUAUGUUUAUCUAUUUUGAGCUAAGCGCCUAUAAAGUCUAGGAUUUAACGAAACAAUUGUAACUUAUUAGUUGUAUGUUUGCGUGAAGAUAACCAUAUGGUUUCUUGUCUAUACAUUCGCAAGAAUAUAUAUUAAUAGGAACCUGAAUUUUGAUCUGAGAUGAAGCGAGACAACCCCCUGAAUUUAAGCAUAUUAAUAAGGGGAGGAAAAGAAACUAACAAGGAUUCCCCCAGUAACGGCGAGUGAAGCGGGAAGAGCUCAAUUUGAAAAUCGAUUACCUAAACGGGUCAUCGAAUUGUAGCCUAGAGACGUACUAUCAGCUGAAACCUGGGUAUAAGUUCUUUGGAAUGAGGCAUCAUAGAGGGUGAGAAUCCCGUUUAUGACCCAAAGCUUUCAGCGUACGAUGUAUGUUCAUCGAGUCGAGUUGUUUGGGAUUGCAGCUCUAAAUGGGUGGUAAGUUUCAUCUAAAGCUAAAUAAUGGCGAGAGACCGAUAGCGAACAAGUACCGUGAGGGAAAGAUGAAAAGAACUUUGAAAAGAGAGUUAAAAGUACUUGAAAUUGCUAAGAGGGAAGCGCUAAAAACCAGUGAUACGCUAGGUCAAUCGUUCUCGGCUUCUCGUAGAUAGUGUUGGGCAAUGGGCAACCUUGUUCGGUGUUAUCGAAAGGAUGGUUGGGGAUUUAUGAUCUAGUGUCAGUCAAGAUCAAUUCGAAUUGUGGGAGAAGGUAGCGAGAAAGGUAGGAGGAGCAAUCCUCUGUUAUAUUCUUGUUACUCUACCUCGGCUUGGAUUGAGGAAGUAAUGGUGCGCCGCUUGCGGCUUGAUCCUGCGUCUCUGUUGUCCUACUUGCUCCGAUAGCAAUGCUAUCUCUGUGAGGAAAGGCAAUACUGGGCGUGGUGAUUCUAUGUGCCAUCACGAUCUUGUACGAAAUGGUUUUUAUCGACCCGUCUUGAAACACGGACCAAGGAGUCUAACAUCUAUGCAAGUAUUUGGGUGAAAAACCCUGAUGCGUAAUGAAAGUAAAGGUAGACUUGUUCUACUGAGGUAGGAAUCCUUGUUAAAGGGGAGGCACUAUCGACCGAUCAUCACUUGUGAAAGAUUUGAGUAAGAGCAUAUCUGUUGGGACCCGAAAGAUGGUGAUCUAUGCCUGAACAGGGUGAAGCCAGGGGAAACUCUGGUGGAGGCUCGUAGCGAUACUGACGUGCAAAUCGUUCGUCUGAUUUGGGUAUAGGGGCGAAAGACUAAUCGAACCAUCUAGUAGCUGGUUCCCUC
rnacentral:misc_RNA from 1 species